CGGGACACGUGGUAUCCUGUCUGAAUAUGGGGGGACCAUCCUCCAAGGCUAAAUACUCCUGACUGACCGAUAGUGAACCAGUACCGUGAGGGAAAGGCGAAAAGAACCCCGGCGAGGGGAGUGAAAAAGAACCUGAAACCGUGUACGUACAAGCAGUGGGAGCACAGAGCAAUCUGUGUGACUGCGUACCUUUUGUAUAAUGGGUCAGCGACUUAUAUUCUGUAGCAAGGUUAACCGAAUAGGGGAGCCGAAGGGAAACCGAGUCUUAACUGGGCGUUAAGUUGCAGGGUAUAGACCCGAAACCCGGUGAUCUAGCCAUGGGCAGGUUGAAGGUUGGGUAACACUAACUGGAGGACCGAACCGACUAAUGUUGAAAAAUUAGCGGAUGACUUGUGGCUGGGGGUGAAAGGCCAAUCAAACCGGGAGAUAGCUGGUUCUCCCCGAAAGCUAUUUAGGUAGCGCCUCGUGAAUUCAUCUCCGGGGGUAGAGCACUGUUUCGGCAAGGGGGUCAUCCCGACUUACCAACCCGAUGCAAACUGCGAAUACCGGAGAAUGUUAUCACGGGAGACACACGGCGGGUGCUAACGUCCGUCGUGAAGAGGGAAACAACCCAGACCGCCAGCUAAGGUCCCAAAGUCAUGGUUAAGUGGGAAACGAUGUGGGAAGGCCCAGACAGCCAGGAUGUUGGCUUAGAAGCAGCCAUCAUUUAAAGAAAGCGUAAUAGCUCACUGGUCGAGUCGGCCUGCGCGGAAGAUGUAACGGGGCUAAACCAUGCACCGAAGCUGCGGCAGCGACGCUUAUGCGUUGUUGGGUAGGGGAGCGUUCUGUAAGCCUGCGAAGGUGUGCUGUGAGG
rnacentral:rRNA from 1 species